rnacentral:rRNA from 1 species
CGCGGCCUAUCAGCUUGUUGGUGGGGUAAUGGCCUACCAAGGCGACGACGGGUAGCCGGCCUGAGAGGGCGACCGGCCACACUGGGACUGAGACACGGCCCAGACUCCUACGGGGGGCAGCAGUGGGGAAUAUUGCACAAUGGGCGAAAGCCUGAUGCAGCGACGCCGCGUGAGGGAUGACGGCCUUCGGGUUGUAAACCUCUUUCAGCAGGGAAGAAGCGAAAGUGACGGUACCUGCAGAAGAAGCGCCGGCUAACUACGUGCCAGCAGCCGCGGUAAUACGUAGGGCGCAAGCGUUGUCCGGAAUUAUUGGGCGUAAAGAGCUCGUAGGCGACUUGUCACGUCGGAUGUGAAAGCCCGAGGCUUAACCUCGGGUCUGCAUUCGAUACGGGCUAGCUAGAGUGUGGUAGGGGAGAUCGGAAUUCCUGGUGUAGCGGUGAAAUGCGCAGAUAUCAGGAGGAACACCGGUGGCGAAGGCGGAUCUCUGGGCCAUUACUGACGCUGAGGAGCGAAAGCGUGGGGAGCGAACAGGAUUAGAUACCCUGGUAAUCCACGCCGUAAACGUUGGGAACUAGGUGUUGGCGACAUUCCACGUCGUCGGUGCCGCAGCUAACGCAUUAAGUUCCCCGCCUGGGGAGUACGG